AUACGAAGGGUGCAAGCGUUGUUCGGAUUUAUUGGGCGUAAAGCGCGCGCAGGCGGGUUAUUAAGCCAGAUGUGAAAUCUCGGAGCUCAACUCCGAAACUGCGUCUGGAACUGGUAACCUAGAAUACUGGAGAGGAAGGUGGAAUUUCGCAUGUAGGGGUAAAAUCCGUAGAGAUGCGAAGGAACAUCAGGGGCGAAGGCGGCCUUCUGGACAGUUAUUGACGCUGAGGCGCGAAAGCGUGGGGAGCAAACAGGAUUAGAAACCCUAGUAGUCC
rnacentral:rRNA from 1 species